GGAGCGGAGACCAGGCUCCUCCCCACCUGCCGGCCCUGGUUCCCAGCCCCUAACUCGGCCGGGCCUGCAGAUAGUGCCUCCGUUCGCCCUUCCAGUCAGCUGCGGCCUAACCACCUAACGACAGACAGGCUGAUUUCUAACAUCACAGGUUCGCGUCUAAGAAUGUCGACCCCGAACACAGAACAGGCGGGCCCAUAAGCCCACUGCUCUUUGCUGCGGUGCAGCACUCAGGAGACUGAUAUCGCUCAAGACAUCACCUGUUUAUCAAGUUAAAACUUACUGGAAAUGUUUACUCAUCCAGUGGGACACUCGUGGAGCAAGUUACCUGCAAUCCAAGGUUUCACUGCCUAAGAGGACACCGGGGGCCUGGCAGGCAACAGGGCCCUGGCCAUCAGCUCCAACAGGGCGCCCCGCUCAUGCACAGACCAGCUACAGUGCCCCAGAGAGAACCCCCGGGGUGGGCAGGACCGGGCGCUCCCAGACAGGCACUCACACAGUGCUCUAUCUCAGCCCAAGCCCCCUUCCCUGAACCUCAGAGCCUGAACUCCUCGGAAAGGUGUCUUCCACGGUUCGGCACUAAGGGGAAACAGCCACGUUGCCCCUUAAGAUCAGUGAAACUGCUCACACUCUUCAAACCAGAACUUCAGAGCACUCACUCUGCCAGACCCGAGCUGCCCUCCGACGACAGAUAUUAAAACAGUAGAGGCGAAGCCCUUCGGAGCACACAGAGACAGAGAGGUGACGCGCGGUCCGGCCUUCGGGAUGAACUUCCAGGGUGAGAAGCAGCCACGGAGCCUGAGACCCCAGGGGGUGCGCUGAAUGGUACGGGAUUGAUCCGGUGAGAGAUUCCAUGGCUUCCGGGGCUGGGGUGUGAUCGGGAUUCGCUUUAAAAUACUCCAGAAGGGAAAGCCGGACAUAGGCAGGUGUGGUGGACACUGAAUCCAGCACCUUGGGAGGCUGAGGCAGGAGGAUCUUUGGUUUAAACCCAGUCUGGGCAAUUAAGUGAUUUAGCAAGAACCUGUCUCAAAAUAAAACAAAAAAAUUUACAAAGGUGCUGGGCAUGAUAGUGCAGGGCUGUAAUUCCAGCACUCUGGGAGGCUGAAGCAGGAGGAUCACAAAUUUGAAAUCAGCCUGGGCAAUUUAAUGACUUAGCAAGAUAUUAUCUCAAAAUAAAAAGGGCCAGGGAGGUAGC